GACGAACGCUGGCGGCGUGCCUAAUACAUGCAAGUUGAGCGCUGAAGGUUGGUACUUGUACCGACUGGAUGAGCAGCGAACGGGUGAGUAACGCGUGGGGAAUCUGCCUUUGAGCGGGGGACAACAUUUGGAAACGAAUGCUAAUACCGCAUAAAAACUUUAAACACAAGUUUUAAGUUUGAAAGAUGCAAUUGCAUCACUCAAAGAUGAUCCCGCGUUGUAUUAGCUAGUUGGUGAGGUAAAGGCUCACCAAGGCGAUGAUACAUAGCCGACCUGAGAGGGUGAGCGGCCACAUUGGGACUGAGACACGGCCCAAACUCCUACGGGAGGCAGCAGUAGGGAAUCUUCGGCAAUGGACGAAAGUCUGACCGAGAAACGCCGCGGGAGUGAAGAAGGUUGUCGGAUCGUAAAACUCUGUUGGUAGAGAAGAACGUUGGUGAGAGUGGAAAGCUCAUCAAGUGACGGUAACUACCCAGAAAGGGACGGCUAACUACGUG
rnacentral:rRNA from 1 species